rnacentral:misc_RNA from 1 species
UCUCCGUUGGUGAACCAGCGGAGGGAUCAUUACAGGAUCGAAAGACUCCUAUAACCCCUGUGAACUUACUACAAAUACGUUGCUUCGGCGGGUGCCCCGGGUCUCCCGGGGCGUUCAGCACGCCGGCAGCCUUCAAAUUCUGUUUCUUUGCGUUGGCAUCUCGAGUAUACAAAAAUAAGUUAAAACUUUCAACAACGGAUCUCUUGGUUCUG